UACGGGGGGAGCAAGCGUUGUUCGGAUUUACUGGGCGUAAAGGGCGCGUAGGCGGCCACCGCAAGUCGACUGUGAAAUCUCCGGGCUUAACCCGGAAAGGUCAGCCGAUACUGCGGGGCUAGAGUGCAGAAGGGGCAACUGGGAAUUCUACGGGUGUAGCGGGUAGAAAUGACGUAGAUAUCGAGAGGAACACCUGCGGCGAAGGCGGGUUGCUGGGCUGACACUGACGCUGAGGCGCGAAAGCUAGGGGAGCGAACGGG
rnacentral:rRNA from 1 species